rnacentral:rRNA from 1 species
UACGUAGGGGGCAAGCGUUGUCCGGAAUCAUUGGGCGUAAAGAGCGUGUAGGCGGCCCGAUAAGUCCGCCGUGAAAGCCCAGGGCUCAACCCUGGGAUGCCGGUGGAUACUGUCGGGCUAGAAUCCGGAAGAGGAGUGUGGAAUUCCCGGUGUAGCGGUGAAAUGCGCAGAUAUCGGGAGGAACACCCGUAGCGAAGGCGGCACUCUGGGCCGGAACUGACGCUGAGGAGCGAAAGCGUGGGGAGCAAACAGG